GGGUCAUACCACUGUCCUAGGGGCUGCAGGGGGAAUUUCGGGAAGGCCUGGCUCGCCUGCCUCCGGGGAGGCAGCUCCCUGCUCGGGCAGAGCGGGGGCGCCGGGCUGCGGCGCCCGGCCGGCAUGUGGGGCAGCGGCAAUCCCGGCGGAGGGGGAGCUGGAGCCGCCGCGGUGACGGUCGUCUUGAGCAGGACCCGGGACUGCUUCCUGCACUUGCCUCCCGUGCUAGCCUCUUACCUCCGCCUACAGCAGGGCCAAGCUGUGAAAGUGUCUUGUGGUCAUCAGCCUGUAUUUUUGAGCUGGAUGGAAAUCAGGCAUCGAGGUCACCAGGGUGAAAAUAUUGCAGAGAUUAACAGACUGUUAGCAGAGAAACUUGGCAUUACAGAUGGAGAACAGGUAUUUAUUGAACCCUGUUCCCACGUCUCCUCCUGCCAGCAAGUAGAAGUAGAACCACUCUCCGCAGAUGAUUGGGAAAUUCUGGAACUGCAUGCUUCCUCUCUUGAAAAACAUCUUCUUGACCAGAUUCGAAUAGUAUUUCCAAAAGCCGUCUUUCCUGUGUGGGUUGAACAGCACACUCACGUUUACAUUAAAAUCGGUACACUUAUGCCAGCAGCCCCCUAUGGGAGAUUAGAACCGUGCACGGAGCUUCUGGUAUGUCCCAAACCACAUGAACCUGAGGAAAAUAUCACCAGCACGCCUUCCAAGGAAAGUGACCUCUUGCUCAGAAGUUUUGUGGAAAAUAACAUGGAGCAAGAAGCAGCACUAAAGGAUCCUUUUGGCAAACAACCUUACUUAAAGCCAGGAGUCCUUGAACAGAGUAAGGCUGAUGCAGACAUGACGGUUGGCUCAAAUGUUCUCCCAAAUAUAUGGAAUUUCCUAGGGAGCAUUUUCUCUCAUACAUCUGAGCAGAAACAAAAGACUUUGUGUGAUAAAGAUGAAACAAGCACCUUCAAAGACAAGCUGCUGAACAUAAUUCACAUGGAUUCCAUUUUUAGAGUAUGUCAGUCCCAACCACCCAGCGUACAGAAUGCAUCCGCCACUCAUCCGUUUCUGAAAUGCAAUGCUAUUCAUAUUUUUCCAUGGAAUUUAGAAUUUAUUGAUUUGGAUCCAAAUCCUGUAGUAUCUUAUGGGAAAAUUAAUGAGCUGCUUUCCCCAAGACAGCGUCAUCAAGAAGCAAAGCAAAAUCUGCCAUUUGAAAAGCAAAAGCAUUUGGCUAGUAUGCAAGACAAAAGUCAUUCUGAUAGCAGUGAAGCAUUCCGUGAGGGAUCUGUUGUUCAAAUCGUUUGGAAUGGAUUUGAAGACCUAAAGAGUGUCAUAGAGUAUGGCCACAUUGGGGAAGCCCUACAUGUUGGAAGAGUUUGGAUUCCAGAUGGUCUGAGAAAAAAACUACAUAUCGAAAUACAUUCAACAGUCCGAAUUAAGUCGAUUGAAUCUAUUCCUAAAAUCCCUGUAUCUCUUACAUUGCAACCCAAAGAGAACUUGCAUACAGAUAUACAUGAAGAUGAUAUUAAAUCUGCUUUCAGUUCUUGGCUGCAGGAUUCCACUACCGAUGAUCACCCAUGGAUAAUGACAAGUACAGACUGUAUACAUCUGUCUGUUAAAGACGGAAUGGAGGAGUUUGUCCUUAGUGUAGUGCAUCCUGCGCACAUGGAAGAAAAUAAGUCUGAGAAUAUUUUUAUACUGAGUCCCAGUUUGCUGCAAAAGACUAAUAUACAAGUUCUUUUACAUCCUGUGACGGGAAAAGCUGAUGGUGAUAGCCAGCCACCUGCAUGUGAUACACAUAAGAACCUUCCCUACUACAAACUAAAUGAUUUAGGAGGAGUGGAGAAAUUAGGAGCAUCUUCAUUUGAACACAUAAGCCACAGUCUUCUGGGGCGUCCUUUAUCUCAAAAGUUGGCUGCUAUUGCUGUGGGACUGCGAAGUGGAGGGGUGCUUCUCACAGGAGGAAAGGGAAGUGGAAAGUCAACAUUAGCAAAGGCUAUCUGCAAAGAGGCAUUCAAUAGACUGGAUGCUCACGUAGAAGUAAUUGAUUGUAAAGCUUUAAGAGGAAAAAGAUUAGUAAACAUAAGGAAAAAUGUGGAAGAAGCUUUUUUAGAGGCAGCUUGGAGACAACCAUCCAUUCUUUUGAUGGAUGAUCUUGAUCACAUUGUUGGAGUACCUUCUACACCAGAGCAUGAGAACAGCCCUGAAACCAUUCAAAGCAACAGACUUGCUUAUGUUUUGAAAGAUCUGAUAAAAGAAGUUAUUUCCAUGGGGAGCUUGAUUGCAUUAAUUGCCACGAGUCAGUCUGAACAUUCCCUACAUCCUUCCCUGGUUUCAGCUCAAGGAACUCAUAUAUUUCAAUGCUUCAGAUGUAUCCGACCUCCAGAUCAGAAGCAAAGAUGCGAAAUGCUGUAUUCCAUAAUAAAAAGAAGACUGAAUUCUGAUAUAAGCAAGUUCUCUGAUCUUGACCUCCAGUGUAUUGCAAAGGAAACGGAAGGUUUUGUUGCUAGAGAUUUUACUAUGCUGGUUGAUCGUGCCAUUCAUGCCUGUGUUUCCAACCAGAAUGCAUUUCAAAGUGAUGCAGAAUUGAUUUUGUCAACUGUGGAUUUUCAGAAAGCUCUAAAAGAUUUUACUCCAUUAGCUCUGAGAAAUGUUAACCUUCAUAAACCUAAAGACAUUGGAUGGGAGAGGAUUGGUGGCUUAAAAGAUGUGAAACAAAUUCUCAAGGAUACCAUCAUGUUACCUGCAAAGUAUCCAGAAUUAUUUGCAAACCUGCCCAUACGACAGAGAUCAGGAGUCUUGCUAUAUGGAGCACCUGGAACAGGAAAAACACUGUUAGCAGGAGUAGUUGCUCGAGAGAGUGGCAUGAAUUUCAUCAGCAUCAAGGGACCAGAGCUGCUCAGCAAAUACAUUGGAGCAAGCGAGCAAGCAGUUCGAGACAUCUUUGACAGAGCUCAGGCAGCUAAGCCUUGUAUUGUUUUCUUCGAUGAGUUUGAUUCUGUAGCUCCUCGCCGAGGUCAUGACAACACAGGAGUUACUGACAGAGUGGUUAACCAACUGUUGACUCAGUUAGAUGGUGUGGAAGGCUUACAAGGGGUUUAUGUGCUAGCUGCUACUAGUCGCCCAGAUUUGAUUGACCCUGCUUUGUUAAGGCCAGGUCGACUGGAUAAGUGCCUGUACUGUCCACCUCCUGAUCAGAAUUCACGCUAUGAAAUCUUAAAAGCUCUCAGUCAUUCCCUGUCCUUGGCAAACGAUGUGGACUUUCAGGAUUUGGCAGCAAAAACAGAAUGGUUCACAGGGGCUGACCUAAAAGCUUUAUUGUACAAUGCCCAAUUAGAGGCAAUCCAUACUAAUUUAGGUUCAGGUUCAACACAGGAUUUUGUUUCUAGUUCUGAUAGUGACUUCAGUCUCUCUUCCAUGGUUUUUCUAAACCACAGCAGUGGCUCAGAUGAUUCAGCAAUAGACGGAGAAGCAGGACUGGAACAUUCUCUUAUUUCUUUAGACAUGUCUGACUUGCUUCCUGAAGAUCCAAGGUCCAACAUGUAUCGUCUUUAUUUUGGAAGCUCUUAUGAAUCAGAGCUGGGAAAUGGAACUCCUUCAGAACUGAGCUCUUUGUGUUUGUCUGGACCAAACUCCAUAACUCAUGAUUUUACCAGCGUGACUCAUAGAGACGCAGCAUCAUCACAACCCUCAAUGCUUAGAACAGCUUCUCAAGAAGACUCCCUGGAACAUAACCAGGAGCAGCAAAUAGAGCACCUGAGGACAGAAGUCAAUGCUAUCAAAACCAACUACAGAAACAAGAAUGGAGUAUGGCAGGAGGACAGCACCCUGAAUCAGUCAGUGCAGGCCAAGAACACUUUAGUUAUUACCCAGUCCCAUCUGAUGGCUGCACUUGAGGGUAUAAGACCAUCCAUUAGCCAAGAUGACUGGAAGAACUUUACUGAACUGUAUGAUAAUUUUCAGAAUCCCAAGAAGAGGAGAGGGCAAGUUGGCUCAACUUUCAGACCAGGACAAAAGAUGACUCUAGCAUAGUAACUUGUAUUGGUGUAAAUGCUAAAAUGUAACUGGAAAUGACAAAUGUUAAUUAACUCAGAUUAUUUAUAUUCAUAUGGAUUUAUUAAUGCAGCACUUGAAGUUAAGUUUCUUUUAAACUUACAUGCUGUAUAAUUAUGUCACAUUUUAUUUUGAUUGUCUUCAGAUUGAUAUUAAAUUUUUGAGAGAACACUGAUUACAUUCUGACCAUUUGUUUAUCACAGAAAACUUAAAGUUUGGGGGUUUAUCAAUAUGGUUGCCAAAACCUAACAGUGAUUUCCUAUCCCUGCUUAUUUCCUCACAAGAAAUGGAUUCAGUUCAAAUAAACUCUAAUAGGUAAUGGUGGAAAUGUGUGUUAAAAAUUCUAUCCAGCUGUUCUCUGAUGGCCUUUGGAGGGCUUCGAGAAGGGUGGUACUUCAUAUGUUGAUUGGUAGGCAGCUAGACUAAUACUUCCAGAAUAACUAUAGCCAAAAAAACCUCAGACAAAACAAGGUGAUUGUAUCUGGUUUUCUGCAAGAGUUUAUUAAGGAGAGUGAUAUCAACUUGCAUUUCACAACGACUAUAUCUUCUUAUCCCUAUCUUUUCUUCUUCGAGACCGUUCAAAAACAUCUCUGAUGUUUAGAAGCUUUCUAAUGUUACAUCCUGAAAUUAUUCACAACUACUGCCUUACAUGAAGAUUGUUAGAAGUUGUCUUCCUCAGCUGAUACAUAGAGAAGGAGAUCUUAACAGAAGAGGAAAGAAGGAGCAGGCAGGAAAGGAAGAAAACUAGAGAUGUUUCCCGUGAGUCAAUAACACCCUUUCACAACAUGUUGCCCAUAAGUGGGGGUUUUGCUUGGUUGGUUUUUCACUGCUCUUCCUUCUCUAUUAGUUACCUCCCUGAGGUAAUCAGAAAACGUUGGGGUUUGGGUGGGGUUUUUGGUGGAGUUUCAUAGCCAUUAUGUGCCUUUUCACACCUGCAUUGCUUUGGGCCAUUGGGCAUUAUUACCCUUUCAGUUAUCAGAUCAGAUGUCCAGGCUUCCUCUGAUCACUUCUUCACGUACAUUAGUAGUAGCAGCCUUCCUCAAGCUGCUCCUCAGUGUUUGAUUGUAUGGUCCCACUACAUGUUCCAAUUUGUUAUUUCAUUCAUUGAAAUGUAUCAUCCAAUGUCAGUAAUUAGGAGAACACAUCAUAUUGACCAUAUGAUUAUAUUGUUCACUACUGCCUACAACCUAAACAUUACAGUAUGUGCCACAGUGAGAGCCAGUCUCUGAAACAGCAGUGGGGAAACUGCGCCGCCUUUGAAGGCAAUAUUUUCCCCAGAGUUGUUAAUUCUAGUUAAUCUGCUGGAAAGUGCCGUGUUCUGCCUUUUGUGUUACCAAAAUGAAGACCCAGUUGCCAGGCCAGAUCCUGCAGCUUGCCAGUUACUUCUGCCUUCUCUUUCCUAUGACCACCAGGUAAUGAAUUUGCACUAGUGCAACUGCUAGUGCAUUUGCAAUGCUUGUGACAGAGGGCUGGGCAUAAACUGGAUGUAUGGAUUGGUUGGCUGAGGAGCUGGCAGUGCUGGCACUUGGAGAGAAUUCUUUUUCAUAGGAAUAAACCGGAAUCAGUGCCACAGUGAAUACAGGACUGAGCCAGUUUUCAGGGGGGACAAGGGAGGGCACUGGAUUUGAGAGCAAGAAAGGCACUGCUGGUAAUACAGCUUCUUUCUGUUUUCUUCUGUAACAGAUAGGGCUGCUGUCACUUUUUUCUGUUGGUUGAGAAGCUAAUCGAAGUUGACAUGUGAAUUUAAAAGCUGAUAUCAUAAAUAUUGCAAGCAUUUGAGCAUUGAUAUAUCUCAGAAGUGGCUGCGUAAUCUCUUAGGUACAGCUGGGAUGCUUUUCUUCAGUGUGCUAUUCAGGACUCUUUUUAAUAUAUGACAGAAUAAUCCAAUAAAAAUCUCAUUAUUUUCCUUCAUUUUGAUGAUGUUUUAAUGUUGUUUUCUAGUAUCUUAAAACUAAAAAAUAGAAAUGCAAAAUACAAGUACAGUUUUAACUCAUGAAUUUUUAUAUUCUCCACUUCUUUAAUGUUACCGAAUAAUGUUGUGGGGUUUUUAAAAUAAUCAAGUUUUACUCUGCUACAGCAGCACAGAAACUCCCAAGAACACUGGGUUUCUACAGUACCCCUCUUUUGUGUCACUAGCUCACAAGACCUGACAUGAAUUAUCCGGAGCCUCAUCUCUUCCAGUAUUCUGACAGGCAAGGCACUAGAUGGUGAGAACUUCAUUUUCCCAUUUAUGGCACCGUUUGUUGCCGCUCCCAGUCGUGGUUCUGUGGAGUGCAGUUUCACUCCUUUGCAAAGCCCAAAGGACAGGUCUGUCACUAUUACCUGCAUGAUUCCAAGCUCUUGGAUUCCUGUGCGGGAGUUACUUUCCUGGAUUUUUGUUCUGGUUUUCUCUCCACCCUCAAGGUGCCACAAAGACCUAGAAUGCCAAAAGUCAAAGAUCCCGGGGGCUUGUUGGCAAGCAGGAGAGAACAUAUUGGUGUGGUGAAUCAUAUGGAUGUGGUGAAUCCCUCCUGGUAUGAUUCAUUCUAGUCUCGGUGAGCAGUAAACUGAAACUCUGGGGGCUAUGGAGAGCAGAGGUAUGAAAUACUGGCUUCCUGAAGAUCGAUAGGAACUCCACCAUUGCCUUCACUUAGGCUGAAAGCCUGUCGUGAUAUAAAAUUGACCCAAAUUCUUGUCCUUUCUCCAAAACCAAAUCUGACUCAGGCUCAGAGAUGCUUUAUUUUCUCAUUUUUCUGGUGUACAGCAGUAACAGUUGAGUCAUAGCCACUGUUAUUCAAGGUAACAGAUGUCUUCUGCAUGCUUGUGUCUCAAAAUAUAGCACAACUGGGUAUCUGAGGAAAUUAUGUUAUUUAAUCAAAACCUUUAAGGCUUUCAUAACAGAACAAAUUAUGCGUUUGUUCUUUUUUUGUAAGCUUCGUGUUUCUGUGUGUAUUUUGUGCCUUUUUUUUCCUCCCUGAGAAACACAUGCUGGCAUGUUUGACUUUAAUUCUGUGUUCUAGCUUCAGAGAAGAGAUUGACAAAUUUCUGACCAUGCCAGAGCUGCAGAAGCAGUGGAUCCAGAACAUGUAAGACAACUGCUUUAUCUUAUUUUUCUUGAACUGAUAAAGGUGAAUAAAUCUGAACACAAAUGUCAGCAAGAUACUACAGGAGAGACAUGCAAGAUUUGCAGAAGUUUUAAUAGUGUUAAUUUUCCAUUCGAAGAAGUGGGCAAAGUAUAACGUCCAAGGACUGGUGUUACAGGUGUAGUGGUGUGGCUUUUUCACUCUCUAUUAGAACUUCAACUAGUGCUGAUAUUUCUGCUAAAUAUUUCCCUGCUAAAUGAAAGUUUGCACUACCUCUUUCAGAUAACUGUUCCAAAGGGUGGUUGUUCUGGUUUUGCUACUCUGUCAGCAGGUAUUACGUGACCCUCGUGGUGACUACAAACUUGAUUACUUUACUUAGAAACAUUUGUUAGCAGUGAAUAUAAUCGUAUUGUGGCUUCUGACAGCCUGCUGUUACUCAGAGUGCCUGAAUGAAGCAAGGCAUUGUGUUUCUUUGUCACUGGCAGAGUGUCUUUGAAAUCAUGCCUCUAUUUCUAGAAUCAUGGAAAAUGUUGGAGGUAUCAACAGGCACACUCGCUUUCUGGAAUGCAAUCCGUAGGGUUUUUUAAGAGCAUUAUAGGGAGAGGAGAAGCGUAUCAAGAGAAUUUAGUGUAUUUUGAAAAACUAGGAGGAAAAGAGGUGGGAACCAUGGUGGAAGCUGGAGGGAGGGAGAUGCACUGGGUUGAAAUCUAGGACCCAGAGAACAUUUGGGUGGCUGGGUAAAGAAAACAUGUAGAAGGAAUUUUGGACACUGGAAUGGAGCUGCAGCAAAAGAGGGUGGUGAGGUCACGUCCUUACCUGGUCAAACAAGGGUGGUGGUGAGGAGGAAGCAGAGGUGGGAAUGCAAAGCAGAAGGACUGGAGUUCUGGGAAACAGUCUGCUCACAGCAGAAGUAGACAGCAGGGAGAAAAGAGAGCUCAGCGAGGGAAAAUGGUUUCCUCUCUGGUUUGGAAUGAGGAAAGCAGACUAAGCAUGCAGUACAGCAGAGAAUGGGGAAAUCCACAGUGACCUGCAGGGAAGGAAGGCAGCAGGAUGACUUAGGUGGCCUCCAGUGCAGGAGGCUGUGCCACCCCCUCCCAGCACCCUGUUACUGGUACCAGGAGCCCUUGUGGGGAGCACAGAGUGGUGCAGACUAACACGGUGCAAUGACUUCAGCAUAUCGGUGGUACGAGCGCUGUGUAACCACUGAGCUUUGUUUAGGUUUAAAUGAUAAGGUUUACUGAAGGCUAUUUGUACCCAUGUCUGUUUUAAUAUGUUCAGAUUUCACUGUAUUUGUACAGUUUUAAUGGGAACUCUCCUGCUUGAAUGCUGACAGGCUCCUUUUUACCCCUUUGUUAACGUAGGAUGCCCACUCCAUCCCCUCCAAAACCCUGGCACACAGGGCUUUUGCAGUGUCUCCGGGAGGACACCAACCUGGAGCUACUUCACAGCACAAAAAUGAAGAGGGAAACAAGUUCCACAGUACUGUAGGCACCCUGGCUGUGAGAUAGCACCCUGGCAAUCAGACAGAAGUAGUUGAGGUUUGCAACAAAUCCUGAUGAAAAUUUGGUAGUAACAGAGCAUUAGCAAAAAUAUUGAGAUCAAGAUCAUUAUUUGACACUAUUAUUUGAGUAAACAAACAAAUAAAUAAAAUAGUCAAUCAGGUCCACUCCCUUUUACUGAAAAUAUAUACGACUGUCAAAUCUGCUAUUGCAAAUGCUAAGGAAGAAUCUCGGGUUGACUGACAUAUGCUAAAUUGACAGUUUUGUUUAAAGACUGGCUUAGGCCACAGUGAAGGCUCUGAGAAUAAAUCAGAUGUCAAAUUCUUAGACUGUCAGUUUAGUCACUUUUAUAGUAUAAUGAAAUAAUUGCUUAUUAGAAAUGUUAAUUUCAUUUUUUAAUGUUUUUAGAUGCUUAUCUUUAUUCCAGCUCCAUAGUAUGGUGGUAUAAAUUCGAAAACAUGGCUAUAUGGCAAAAUACAGCCCGUUCAUGUGCCCUUGCUCAGUGAGGUACAAGCCUUAGCUAUUCAAAUACAUUAACAGACAUUCCACAGGGAAUAAUAAAAAAAGCCCUGAAAAUGCAAACCAAGUCCAAGGAAAGAGACGGGACCAGUCUAGCACUUUCAGAUGAGACAGCCUGUUGUUUUCUCAGUCUGCAGCAUGAAAAGGAGGUUGGUGUCAUCAGAUGUGGAGGAUGACACUCACUCUGUGCAGACACUGUUCUGCACCAACAUGCUGAACUACAAUUUGUCAUCCCUAAGUCUGUCACUCCUCCUAUGAGUAAAUUUGGUUUGCAAAUUUCUCCCCUUAGGAAGAUGUAUCUACCAUGUGACUUGUGCAACACUGCUUCCCCCUUUGAAAGCUCAGUGAUCUGUGAGGCAAGUCUAAGGGGGGGUAGCAUCUUUUAUAAUACCAAAUCAUACAGUCAGAAGAAAAGAAAGGUACGUGAGUUCUCUGUAAGUCACUGAUAUAGUCUUGGAUAAGGGCAGCACUGAAAUCCAAAGUAAUUGAAUUACAUAGAAAAGACUAAUCUUAGUUUCCAAUUCUGAGGUGAUAAUAGUAUUGUUGUUGGACUGCUGUUUUCCCUCCUUGAACUAGUGCCGUGAGAAACCUCUUCUGUUUAACUUUUUUAGUUUAUAAAAGCCAGUAGCAAUUGUAUUUUCACUAGGUGGGAGUGUUUCUUCACUCUCUUUUUUAUUUUUUAAUAUAUUUUAUAUCUUUUUAUUCUUUCUGAUUCUUUUUCUUCUAUAGGUGACUGACAAAGAAAGUCACCCUUUCCAGUUUACAGCUGAAAAAUUAGAAGCUGUGUUAGAGAGCUAAGAAGCAGGUAUCAAUAACACUGAUUUUCGAUUUUCAUGUUUUCCUGGUUGCUUUGUAAGCAGUGUAUGUUCUCAGCAUUGGAGCAGUGGUACAGUUUCAUCUCUGCAGGUUUUCAGUCUUCUGACUGAGAUGGGUCCAACUCUGGCAACAGGAGCUGAAUUGAUUUUAGAAUCUGGGCACUGUAACAAAAUGCAGAGAAAAUACCUGACUCUCUUUUAUGAAGAACAGAUCUUAAUUUGUGUUUCAAGAUGCAAAUUUCUUUGUAGAUUUUAAUGGAAUUCAGAGUGUUGUAAAGAAGCGAUUGUCCUGACCCCGAGAAGAGAGAAGAAAUUACAAUUUUUCUAGAGUUUAGGAAACUUCAUUAGUACAAAAUACUCCAUGUUCAGUGAUUUUAUUCUGAUUGUGACUGCAUAAAUAAGGAUAUUAUGGCUUGUCACAUACAACUUUUUUUCACGUUCCGCUCUGUCUUUGGAACUGCUUUUUUUCCCCCAUGGAAAUGUUUGGUGUUGUGAGUGUCCACAAAAUCGUAUACACCAGUAUUUCAGGCUAAAAGGUUUCCUAUUCUUAUUGUCUUGAUAUUCAUAAUCCACUCACUUAAUGGAAAAUUAUAAAUGCACUUACACUUAACUGUUUGUGCUCUUCCUUGAACAGAUCCAACAGAGGUGGCACAAACUGAAGAGUAAAACAUUUACCAAAGGUGUGGUGAUGUUUCAAAACAGGUACUGAGGUAGACUUCUUGUGUCCUCUUCCAGGAUAAAAAAUGAGGUUUAACCUAGAUAAAGCAUAUAGUUACAAGGAAGGUCACAUAUAAAAAAGUGGGUAUUUUGGAUACACACAAAUGUGUGCAUGACAUUUUUUUUAUAGAUAUGUUGAAGCUGUCGUAGUUAGCUAAUUGCUUGAUCAGCAUGGUGCCUAUACUUAGACACCAUCUGUAUGUCUGUGUCAUCUGUCUGUGUCUUUGCCAGCCCACGUGAGCCCAAGCAUUCAGACACUUCUCACUUUGAUCCUAGCAGAGGGAGGCAGCUGGCAUCCCUGCUGUGGUGCAGUGUCUGUAAGGAUGUGGGCUGGAUGGACAAGGUGCUGGAUCACAGACCAGAUUAGCUCUUUAGGGAUCUGCAUGUGUUUGUCAGCCUUCCAGGGCUGAAACUGUUCUCAUAAAUAAUACUGUAAGUAUCUGCUUUGGAUACAAGUAGUAUCAUAAAUAGCUGGAAGAACUAGACUAGAGCAGCAAUGGAGAAACUGCCAUCCCACAGCAGCCACUGUGCCUCGCUCAACAUCUUCUACUUAACACGUCAGAUGUCAAAUACAUUAAAUACAUGGUUGUGCAAGGAGUACUUGUGGAACAGCUUUUUGUGCUGCAUCCUAUUUUGUUUUCAGGUAAUUUAUUCCUGUAGCUGAAAUCAAAGGCAAUACAUUGACAGUUCACUUCUUGCAAAGUUCUUGCUUACAGAAGCUGUUAAUGCUCAAACAAACUGCACAUGGCAGGGAAAGCAAACACCAGCGCUUCCUCAUCACUGAGCUUUAUUUCCUGGAGCUCCCUGGGAACUGAGCUUUGCAAAUAAUGCCCUUUGCAGGAGGCUCAGGCAGAGUGAGAAUUCGCAGUGGGUCAGGUUUGCUAAGAAUUAAAAAUGUGGAAACAACAAAUAAUAAUGUCUUUUCAGGUUUAUCCCAAGCAUGAGGCAAUAAGGCAACUCCUCAUAAUGGUAUGCUUGAAGUUUUGAAAGUUCCUGCUGUAGUCAUUGCACUGUUUGAUUGUGUACAAUAAAAAUGUAUAUUUGCUGCAUCUAGCUUAUGUUAAUGUACAUUAAGGAUUUUUCUUAGCAAAUAAAGCUGUGAAUCAACUGGCUGUCUUCCAUAGCUGUCCUGAACCUGUUCAGCAUGUUCUCAGUCAAUUCCUUAGGGACAGAGGUCAGCCACACUAAAAAGGUUUCCAUUGCACUGUUUUACUGUUCUAUUGCAGGUGGAAAUAAAACAAUUCUAUUUUCCUUGCUUUGAUACAUUGGUUGGAUAAUGUGGUUUUUCCCACCAACAAAAAGUGACUUGAAGCACAGAAAAUUCUUGUGGAUGGGCUUGCUGAUAUUGGAAUACCUGUGUGUAAAAGUUCAGGAGGACUCUGUGGGCAGACUUCAGGAAAGUAGUUCUUAAAAUCACAGACAUUUGCAGACGAACUUGAAUUAUGGCAGAAGCUCCUUCACAAAAAGCUCCUGAUUAGUCCUGGAAAAGCUUUUUGUUGUUACGAACCUGGAUGGUUUAGACUGCUUUUCUCCAGUUCUGCAGGUAAGGUUUAAUUGGGUAAGUGGCUUUUACGUCUAUUAUGGCACAUGCAGUAGCACACAUGUUUUAAGAAAUAUUAAACAGUAAUAAGUUCAAACUUAAUUAUUCUCUCUCAGCUUGUGAGGGACAUUUUUAGAGUUUGUAUGAACUGAGAAAUAUGAGAUUGGCCCAGAGCAUACGUUACAAAGCACUUACUUAUGUUGGGUUAUGUUAAACCUCUAAAGCCUUCAGAAUUUGAUUUUAAUUUUGCUCUAUCAGAAGGCAGAUUUUAUGUGGAAGAGUUUUUACUCUUGCGAAUUAUGCUUUAUAACCUGUGGGAAUUCCCCACCAUCCCUCAUUUUUAUGUGGCUUAUGCUGGAGAUGAAAAAUGUAUCCAUCUCUUCUGCUGUGAAAUACUUAACCUUGAAUGAGUGCUGGCAAAGUGCACGUUUGUGAAGCAUAUAGAAAAAUGUAGAUUGAAAGGGUCAUCUAGUACAGCUGCUUGCUCAAGGAAGGGCCAGUUUCUAAGUAAGUCAGAGAGCAGGUUGUGCAUGGCCUUGCUCAGUCAAGUUUUGAGACUCUUUAAAGCUGGAGAUUACACAGCCUCCCUGAGGAACUCAUUUCAGUGUUUAAUUGCUCUGAGGGUGAAUUUUUUUUUCCAUAUGUCCAGUGAGUACUUCCCUCUGUAUUUCCUUCUACAGGGAUUCAGAGACUUGAGCAAAUGUUGCAGUUAUGCUGCUGAACCAGUCACAAACAGCACCCCUGCUACUGCAGAUGCUUUAUGCAGGCCAGAAAAAAAGAUUCUUCAGACAAACCUUCAAGCACACCAGGAGAUGUCUCUCAGCUGAAAAGUAUCCUUGGUGUUAAAGUCCUCUAUGCAUUUAAUGACUUGACUUAAUUUAGCAGGCUCAUGUUUACUAUAGCUGUGUAUGACUUUAGUAUUUUUGCCUGUAACCUUGCAUAACACUCUAUUAAUUAUGUGUGCUAAUUAAUUGUCAUUAUUAAUGCUGUGGCCUGGCAUUAAUAAUCUGCACGUGCACUUUGUAAAACUGAAUUUUAAGGAAAAUGGACCCCCUGCAUAUUGCAAAAUUCGCCCCUGUGAAGCACAGCACUUGGUUUUCCUCCAUUUCAAGUGUUUCCUCCAUUUCAAGCAUGAGUAGAAUAAGUGAGUCUUAAUAUAUACUUGCACAGUUGUUGAAUUAUGAAAUUUUGAAACACUGGUGUAAUGGUUGUGCAUGUUUCUAUUAUGGUCUGUGUAUUUUAAUCAGAAUACGGGAAGUACUGAAUCAGGUGAUAGUAAAAUUUUGCUAAACCUCUAGUGCCAGCAAAAUAUUUUUGUAUAUUUGUGAGAUCUCUCUAAACAUAAACAUCUCAAGCAUUUACACACCUGUCUGUAUAUGCAUGCUAACUGAGUACUUUCCACCCUGAGCCUUCUCUAUUCCAGGCUGAACAGUCCCAGCUCUUACCCUCUCCUUGUAUUUCAGAUGCUCUGAUACCAAAUUAAACAAGUAUUAAACCCUGA